AGAGUUUGAUCCUGGCUCAGGGUGAACGCUAGGAGUAUGCUUAACACAUGCGAGUCGAACGAGAAAAGAUUUUUCUUUUUUAGUGGCGUACGGGUGAGUAAUACAUAGGAACUUACCUUUUAGUUCAGAUUAAGAUUCUGAAUUCAAAAGAAAAAAUUUCGCUAAAAGAUAGGCCUAUGGAAGAUUAGGUAGUUGGUAUGGGUAAAAGCCUACCAAGCCUAUGAUCUUUAGCUGUACUGUGAGGUUGGUCAGCCACACUGGGACUGAGACAAGGCCCAGGCUUCAUUCGAAGCCAGCAGUGAGGAAUCUUGGACAAUGAGCGAAAGCUUGAUCCAGCAAUACUCCAUGAGUGAUGACAGCUUUCAAGUUGUAAAACUCUUUGGUUGAUGAGGAUAAUGACAGUAGUCAACAUAAUAGCCCCGGCUAACUUCGUGCCAGCAGCCGCGGUAAGACGAAGGGGGCGAGCGUUACCCGGAAUGACUGGGCGUAAAGGGUCCGUAGGCAGUGUUUUAUGUUAAAGGUGAAAAACUAAAGCUCAACUUUUUUCUAGCCUUUAAAACGUUAACACUUUGAGUUUGAAAGAAGAUAGCAGAAUUUCACAUGGAGGGGUGAUAUCCUUAGAGAUGUGAAGGAAUACCAGAGGCGAAGGCGGCUAUCUAGUUCAGUACUGACGCUGAGGGACGAAAGCAUGGGGAGCAAACAGGAUUAGAUACCCUGGUAGUCCAUGCCCUAAAAUAUGAGUGCUCGUGCUUAGGAUUUUUUUAGGCACUAAGCUAACGCUUUAAGCACUCCGCCUGGGG
rnacentral:rRNA from 1 species